GCAAUGAAGAUGCAACUUUCUUGUGCUGGGUUCAUCUGAGAUCAGGUAGCGCCUAGAAGCAAAUACUACUACACAAUAAGCGUGGAAGGAAGCCAUCUCUCUCCCGCCAUUGGAAGAGAGGAGUGGAUGGAAGGAGAGCCCAGAGUACAAGAGUGGAUUCAUCCAAUCCAGGGAGCAGUGAUCUGGAGGGCACCCUGCAAAAUAUGUCACAAGUUCUGUUCCAGCUUAAAGGUAACCUAGUUGUGCACUGGUGGCUCUCAGCCCUCCCCAUCAGGUUCCAUAGUGGCAGCCAAUUGGAACAGAAUCAACAAGACCACAUCCCAUAUGACACUGGAUCCCACCAGCUCAGCCGGUUCAGAGAGACUAUUAAGCAGUGGCGAGGAGCAACUUCCCAGGACCAUCACUCUCUCCAGGCAUCAUUGCAGGAAGAAGAGCCAUAAGGGGAGGUCAGAUUCAGACAGCACAGGAUCUUCAGAUUCAAAGCAAGACAAAGUACUGAUGAAAGUGAAACCUCCAACACCCCUUCUCAUUGCUGCGCAGUCCAACUCACGACUCCCAUCACUUCAGGAAGAUCCUGACAAUGGUCUCUGAGCAGUGGCUUGAUAACAUCCUGCCAUCUUUGUAAAAAAACCUUAGCCUAUAAAGGCCUUUAGACUUCCCGCCUUGCCAUGGAAAUAUUCUGUAUUUAUCAAAAAAUUGUGGAUGAAAGAACAAAGGCAUCAAUGGAGAGACCCAUGAGGAAAUUGAUUUUACUCUGCGAGACCAACAUCGAUAUAAGGCUGCUG